ACGUAGGGGGCUAGCGUUAUCCGGAAUUACUGGGCGUAAAGGGUGCGUAGGUGGUUUCUUAAGUCAGAGGUGAAAGGCUACGGCUCAACCGUAGUAAGCCUUUGAAACUGGGAAACUUGAGUGCAGGAGAGGAGAGUGGAAUUCCUAGUGGGGCGGUGUAAGGAGUGUAUAUGAGGAGGAACACCAGUUGCGAAGGGAGCUCUCAGGACUAUAACCCACACUGAUGCACGAAAUUGUGUGGUACUUACAG
rnacentral:rRNA from 1 species